rnacentral:rRNA from 1 species
CCCUUCGGGGUACUCGAGUGGCGAACGGGUGAGUAACACGUGGGUGAUCUGNNNNGCACUUUGGGAUNNNCCUGGGAAACUGGGUCUAAUACCGAAUAGGACCACGCGCUUCAUGGUGUGUGGUGGAAAGCUUUUGCGGUGUGGGAUGGGCCCGCGGCCUAUCAGCUUGUUGGUGGGGUAAUGGCCUACCAAGGCGACGACGGGUAGCCGGCCUGAGAGGGUGACCGGCCACACUGGGACUGAGAUACGGCCCAGACUCCUACGGGAGGCAGCAGUGGGGAAUAUUGCACAAUGGGCGCAAGCCUGAUGCAGCGACGCCGCGUGAGGGAUGACGGCCUUCGGGUUGUAAACCUCUUUCAAUAGGGACGAAGCGCAAGUGACGGUACCUAUAGAAGAAGCACCGGCCAACUACGUGCCAGCAGCCGCGGUAAUACGUAGGGUGCGAGCGUUGUCCGGAAUUACUGGGCGUAAAGAGCUCGUAGGUGGUUUGUCGCGUUGUUCGUGAAAACUCACAGCUUAACUGUGGGCGUGCGGGCGAUACGGGCAGACUAGAGUACUGCAGGGGAGACUGGAAUUCCUGGUGUAGCGGUGGAAUGCGCAGAUAUCAGGAGGAACACCGGUGGCGAAGGCGGGUCUCUGGGCAGUAACUGACGCUGAGGAGCGAAAGCGUGGGGAGCGAACAGGAUUAGAUACNNNGGUAGUCCACGCCGUANACGGUGGGUACUAGGUGUGGGUUCCUUCCUUGGGANNNGNGCCGUAGCUAACGCAUUAAGUACCCCNNNNNNNGAGUACGGCCGCAAGGCUAAAACUCAAAGGAAUNNNNNNNNGCCCGCACA